AUGAACGCUGGCGGCGUGCUUAACACAUGCAAGUCGAACGAUGGUCUGUAUGACAUAGUGGCAGACGGGUGAGUAACACGUAAGUAAUCUACCCUUGAAAGGAGGACAACCUGGCGAAAGUCGGGCUAAUACUCCAUACGAUCUCUUUCAGGCAUCUGAGAGAGAUGAAAGGCUUCGGCCGAUCGAGGAGGAACUUGCGAUUUAUCAGCUAGUUGGUAGGGUAGAAGCCUACCAAGGCUAUGACGAAUAGCCGGUCUAAAAGGAUGACCGGCCACAGGGACACUGAGACACGGGUCCCACUCCUACGGGAGGC
rnacentral:rRNA from 1 species